AACGGUUCUUUUCCCUCUCCGUCUCCGCUCUCGGUCUGCCUCGGAUCGGAAGCGGAGCGAAGUGGGCCGGUUUGCGCUGAAAAUCGGCGCGCGCGGGAGGAGCGCGCGCGGGGUUGUUUAUCUGUAGUAAGGGGAACUUGAAACCGCCGCCCCCCCCUUUUGCCCCAUGUCCUCGGUUGUUUUCCUUCUUUCGCCUGGAUUCUCCAUGUUGUCGGAGCAGAACCGAGGGGCUUCCACUCUCCACCGCGGGGGGCUCGGGGUAAACACACACCGCACGGCGGAGAAAGCGGGGACCGUGAGCCCGGAGAAGAGCUGAUAAGAGGACAACAAAACACGAAGUGCCAUGCCCCUCCCCUGUGGACGGCGGUGGAAGGCGGGAAUAAGUCCGUAUUAAAAACAAGACAAACAGUGCAGCGCUGUUUGUACAGUUGGGGCGGAUGUAGAUUUGUUUAUGUCGAGCAGGUCGCUGUUGGUCGCUAACCUGGCUAUAUAAUGAUUUUUUUUGGGGGGGGGCGGCUCGGAUGUUGUGUGCGUUAGAUGGAAGUUUCUGUCUAUCAUCGCACAAGUGCAGAGAGAGAGCGAGAGGGAGGGAGGGAGGAGGUUCAGCUGCCGUCGAAAACAGAUAUGGCAGACUGUUCCUUGAAUCAAAAGCCUGGAUGUCAAAGCACCUUUAAAGAACUCAGCCUUUUGCCUUCAAGCUCAGGAUGCCCAGCAGCAAAGCAGCACCUUCCCAUGAUGCCUUGUUAGUGCCGGAGGACAAAAGGACUGUUGCCAAGAUCCCAGCUGAAUGUGUGGUCAUAGACCUGGACACGAUGCUGGCGCAAAGCUCGUUGAAGGCUGUACACAGUGCACAGCGGAUCUCUGUGUGUCUGUGGAGACUGAGGGGCCCACACAGCAGCUCAUGAAGAGAGGAUGAAAGCUGAGGAUGAAAGUGUAGAUUCCAAACUGUUAGUCAAGACCUCGUUUGUGUUUGGUGGAAUGUUAAAGAGCUGAGCUGCCUCAGCCAGGAGCCAGGACCCUUAUCCUGGACGAAUCCCCUGCAUCGUCCACCCUGAAAACUCUAUUCCAGUGCCUUCAUUUGAUGGAUGAUGCAGAUGGAUACAGUAGACCAGAGCACCACUGAACCCAGAGAGCUCCAGAUUAAGACAUAUACUGAGUCUUACUUGGUCUCCGAAAUAUACUAGCCUCCAUACUGAGUGCCUGUCACAAACAAACACCACGUUCACAUACACACAAGUGCAUACGGCUGUAGACAAAUAAAUAGAAGUCUGGAUACACUCCUAGAAGGGUUUUUCCUAAUUGUCCAUUUCACAGUAAUAGUGUUAUUGUUUUUAGCUAAAAUUGUAAGUAUGAAAAAUCUGGUAACGUUUUGGAGGCUUUGUCAUUAUGCUGUUAGUGACAAAAUGGAGUGUUCAAUCAUUUAUUUCAGUAACAUAUAUAUAAUUAAGAUAUAGGCCUUUUCCAAGCUAAAGGAUUUUAUUCUGAAGUCCAAGUCAGUUAAAGGUCUGAAAGGGUUUUAAACUCUGACUUUGAACCACUUUGGUAGAAUGAGCCGUGUAUUUCGCUGUGUUCAGAACUUGAAGGCGUUGUUCUCUGGAUGGGGUGCAUGAUGGAGUCUAAUAAACUUGAAUAAAUUUUCAUUUUGAAGGACCAAA